GACGAACGCUGGCGGCGUGCUUAAUACAUGCAAGUCGAACGCAGUGGGGACGGGUGAGUAACCCGUGGGUAACCUCCCAUCAGAGGGGAUAACACUUGGAAACAGGUGCUAACUCCGAUACGGCUGGAAGGACGUGCGGUGCAUUAGCUAGUCGGCGAGGUAACGGCUCACCAAGGCCACGAUGCAUAGCCGACCUGAGGGGGUGAUCGGCCACACGGGGACUGAGACACGGCCCAGCCUCCUACGGGAGGCAGCAGUAGGGAAUCUUCGGCAAUGGACGAAAGUCUGACCGAGCAACGCCGCGUGGGUGAAGAGGGUUUUCGGAUCGUAAGACUCUUUUGUUAGAGAAGCGGUAUCUAACCAGGAAGCCACGGCUAACUACGUGCCAGCAGCCGCGGUAAUAC
rnacentral:rRNA from 1 species